ACUCCUACGGGAGGCAGCAGUGGGAAUAUUGGACAAUGGGGGACCGGUACUCANCCAGCCGCGCNGUGUGAAGAAGGCCUUAUGGUUGUAAAGCACUUUAAGCGAGGAGGAGGCUACUGAGACUAAUACUCUUGGAUAGUGGACGUUACUCGCAGAAUAAGCACCGGCUAACUCUGUGCCAGCAGCCGCGGUAAUACAGAGGGUGCGAGCGUUAAUCGGAUUUACUGGGCGUAAAGCGUGCGUAGGCGGCCAUUUAAGUC
rnacentral:rRNA from 1 species